UUUAAGUGGAGGAUUUCUUGUCGAAGUGCUUUGUUCUCCUUCUCCAAAUGACAGUUUCUAUCAAGACAAGCUUGCAGCUUGCUUCUAAGAUUACUAUAUUCUCCUCAGGAGAAAAAAGGAUGGGACUCUCUGAGAAAAAGAAAAGGUCUUCAGGCCUUUAAAGCAGAUUCUUACUUGAGGACAACCAUGUCUUCUUCAUGGUUUCUUGACUAGCAUUUUUCUUUUUUUACACUGAAGUAAGCACAAGAUUUGGUUGGAUGAAUAAAAAUACGGUGAAUUUGCUUGGAAUCAAAGUGGUUGAGAUGGGGUAGCUCGCUUGACAAGCAAUGCUGUUGAGGUCUCACUAAUCUCGGCGGUGGUCAAACAAUGACACGCACCUGGCUUUCGCUUUCUCCUUUAAUUCUUUUCACCUGCUUGUGGCUUUCCAACAGUGACAACCGAUGCUUAUUUAGUAUAACCCAGAGGGAUUGCUCUUCCAGUUCUUUCUGCCUCCCUUGAUGUUUAGGUGACAUGAAAAGGGACAUAAUAAUGGAAGGAGAUUACUUUGGAGUGGAACGAUGGAUUCCUUAGUACCAGCAAGUUACUUUAUAGUUUCAGAGUGGGAUCCAUUGGUAAGAAAGUUGCGAUUAUGAUGGUCAUUGAUUACUUAACUUAGCUCACUUAUUUUUGGUUGCUUACUUGCAUUGAUAACCAUUAAUACCUCCUAAUCAUCCUUCAUUAUGUGUUAGAUCUAUUUCUUUAGUUAAUGGCUCUCAGAUUUGUUACCAACCAAGGUCGGUGCAACCGAAAAUAUGUACUGAUUGAUCUUAAAAUUUUGGUGACUUUUGUGGAAUAAAGGUCGGUUUGCUCAAGCCCGUGAUGUCGACCUUGAGCCCAAGCCCAGUUUUUUCUUUAUUAAUUGUAAAUUUAAAUUGGUCAAGAAUUGCUUUUCAAGUUGGUUGUCUCUAAGUUUGGUCUUUCUUGC